CGGCUACGGGCUCUGUCCUUCAUUCUCUAGCUCCAGGACUGUGCAGCUGCAGGUCUGGCCAUGGACCCCCAUGCCAGCUCCCUCCUGGUCCUCGUGCUCUGCCUGGCCCAGACCAUCCACAUGCAGGAGGGGAUACCAGUCCUCUCUUCCUCCCUCCCCAGCCAAUUGGCACACAUGGGGUCUCAGGACCCUCAAUACUAGAAAUGGGAACAGGUU